UACGUAGGGUGCGAGCGUUAAUCGGAAUUACUGGGCGUAAAGCGUGCGCAGGCGGUAAUGUAAGACAGAUGUGAAAUCCCCCGGGCUUAACCUGGGACCUGCAUUUGUGACUGCAUUGCUGGAGUGCGGCAGAGGGGGAUGGAAUUCCGGCGUGUAGCAGUGAAAAUGCGUAGAUAUGCGGAGGAACACCGAUGGCGAAGGCAAUCCCCUGGGCCUGCACUGACGCUCAUGCACGAAAGCGUGGGGAGCAAACAGG
rnacentral:rRNA from 1 species